GAUGAACGCUGGCGGCGUGCCUAAUACAUGCCAGUCGAGCGAACGGACGAGAAGCUUGCUUCUCUGAUGUUAGCGGCGGACGGGUGAGUAACACGUGGAUAACCUACCUAUAAGACUGGGAUAACUUCGGGAAACCGUAGCUAAUACCGGAUAAUAUUUUGAACCGCAUGGUUCAAAAGUGAAAGACGGUCUUGCUGUCACUUAUAGAUGGAUCCGCGCUGCAUUAGCUAGUUGGUAAGGUAACGGCUUACCAAGGCAACGAUGCAUAGCUGACCUGAGAGGGUGAUCGGCCACACUGGAACUGAGACACGGUCCAGACUCCUACGGGAGGCAGCAGUAGGGAAUCUUCCGCAAUGGGCGAAAGCCUGACGGAGCAACGCCGCGUGAGUGAUGAAGGUCUUCGGAUCGUAAAACUCUGUUAUUAGGGAAGAACAUAUGUGUAAGUAACUGUGCACAUCUUGACGGUACCUAAUCAGAAAGCCACGGCUAACUACGUG
rnacentral:rRNA from 1 species